rnacentral:rRNA from 1 species
UACGGAGGGUGCAAGCGUUAUCCGGAUUCACUGGGUUUAAAGGGUGCGUAGGCGGAUAGGUAAGUCCGUGGUGAAAUCCUGCAGCUUAACUGCAGAACUGCCAUGGAUACUAUUUAUCUUGAAUAUCGUGGAGGUUAGCGGAAUAUGUCAUGUAGCGGUGAAAUGCUUAGAUAUGACAUAGAACACCCAUUGCGAAGGCAGCUAACUACGCGAUAAUUGGCGCUGAUGCACGAAAGCGUGGGGAUCAAACAGG